UUGUAAUUAGUUUAGUAAAAAUAUUUGUUUUUGGUGUAAAAGAGAUUAUUACAAAA
rnacentral:tRNA from 1 species